AGCUGGCGUCUGCUUUGUCCGGCGAAUCAAAGUUCCGGUCUUGAUUGCGAUUGGCUUGAUGAUGAUCAUGGCGUGGUGAGCUCUGUUUGGAAGGAAGGAAAAUAUAGAAAGGAGAAUUUUGGGUUUUUUCACGAGAAAGUGACGGAAACGGAAAGUGGUGGUGAGGGACAGUUGUUUCUGAAGUGGGAAAGAGAAAGCUGCUGUUUUGUAUACUACCAGAUUGAAAAGGU